rnacentral:misc_RNA from 1 species
CAUCUAAUUCUGUUUCUCUUCUCACCUCAUAUCUCUCUGUUCUUUCGGAACUCUGUCCAAUAUCUAUUCAAUUACUAUUUUAGGAAUUGAUUCAGGCCUGCUAUGAUUCAGGCCCAUUAUCUUACAUUGAGUUCCUUGGCUCUUUCUGCCAUUGAGUUGAACGUAAAAUAUUAUUGAAAACAGCCACUAAGCCAAUAUAUCAUCUCAG